rnacentral:rRNA from 1 species
UACGAAGGGGGCUAGCGUUGUUCGGAAUUACUGGGCGUAAAGCGUGCGCAGGCGGUUCGUUGUGUCGGCGGUGAAAGCCCCGGGCUCAACCUGGGAAUGGCCGUUGAAACUGGCGAACUGGAGUGUGGCAGAGGGGGGUGGAAUUCCGCGUGUAGCAGUGAAAUGCGUAGAUAUGCGGAGGAACACCGAUGGCGAAGGCAGCCUCCUGGGAUAACACUGACGCUCAUGCACGAAAGCGUGGGGAGCAAACAGG